rnacentral:rRNA from 1 species
CCUACGGGGGGCAGCAGUGGGGAAUAUUGCACAAUGGGGGAAACCCUGAUGCAGCGACGCCGCGUGAGUGAAGAAGUAUUUCGGUAUGUAAAGCUCUAUCAGCAGGGAAGAAGAAAGACGGUACCUGACUAAGAAGCCCCGGCUAACUACGUGCCAGCAGCCGCGGUAAUACGUAGGGGGCAAGCGUUAUCCGGAUUUACUGGGUGUAAAGGGAGCGUAGACGGCUGUGCAAGUCUGAAGUGAAAGCCCAGGGCUCAACCCUGGGACUGCUUUGGAAACUGUGGAGCUAGAGUGCUGGAGAGGUAAGUGGAAUUCCUAGUGUAGCGGUGAAAGGCGUAGAUAUUAGGAGGAACACCGGUGGCGAAGGCGGCUUGCUGGACGGUAACUGACGUUGAGGCUCGAAAGCGUGGGGAGCAAACAGGAUUAGAUACCCCUGUAGUC